AGGGUUUGAUUAUGGCUCAGGAUGAACGCUGGCGGUAUGCGUUACACAUGCAAGUCGUACGGAAGUUUUUAACUUAAGUGGCGGACGGGUGAGUAACACGUAAGAAUUUACCUUUAGGAAGAGGAUAACAAUUGGAAACGAUUGCUAAAACUCUAUAUGCAUUUUUUGUGAAAUGGGUUACCAGCCUAAAGAAAAGCUUGCGGCUGAUUAGCUUGUUGGUAAGGGAUAAAGGCCUACCAAGGCCACGAUUCAGGAUUCUCGUUUGAAAGGAUGAUCAGACACACCUGGAACUGAGACACCGGUCCAGACUCCUACGGGAGGCAGCAGUGGGGAAUUUUCCGCAAUGGGCGAAAGCCUGACCGGAGCAAUACCGCGUGAGGGAUGAAUGCCUUAUGAGUUGUAAACCUUCUUUUUCCAGGGAGGAAGUAAGUGACGUGUACCUGAAGAAUAAGCAUCGGCUAACUCCGUGCCAGCAGCCGCGGUAAUACGGAGGAUGCAAGUGUUAUCCGGGAAUCACUGGGCGUAAAGCGUCUGUAGGUGGUAAAAUAAGUCAACUGUUAAAUAUUGGGGCUUAACUUCAAAACUGCAGUCGAAACUAUUUAACUAGAGUAUAGUAGGGGUAAAGGGAAUUUCCAGUGGAGUGGUGAAAUACGUAGAGAUUGGAAAGAAAGACCGAUAGCGAAGGCACUUUACUGGGCUAUAACUGACACUCAGAGACGAAAGCUAGGGUAGCAAAUGAGAUUAGAUACCCCAGUAGUCCUAACCGUAAACAAUGGAUACUAGAUGUUGGGCAGAUCGACCUGUGCAGUAUUAAAGCUAACGCGUUAAGUAUCCCGCCUGGGAAGUAUGCUCGCAAGAGUGAAACUCAAAGGAAUUGACGGGGGCCCGCACAAGCGGUGGAGCAUGUGGUUUAAUUCGAUGCAACGUCGAAGAACCUUACCAGGGUUUGACAUGAUACGAAAUUUUUUGAAAUAAAAAAGUGCUUUUUAAGAACGGUAUACACAGGUGGUGCAUGGCUGUCGGUCAGCUCGUGUCCUGAGGAUGUUGGGUUAAGUCCCGCAACGAGCGCAACCCUUAUUUUUAGUUGCCAAUUGGAACUCUAAAAAAACUGCCGGUUAUAAGCCGGAGGAAGGCGGGGAUGAGCGUCAAGUCAGCAUGCCCCUUACACCCUGGCCUACACACGUGCCUACAUUGGUGUAAGACAAUGAGAACCUGAAUCUGCGAAGAAUAGCGGAUCUAUAAACUCACUCCAAGUUCGGAUUGCAGGCUGCAACUCGCCUGCAUAAAGUUGGAAUCGCUAGUAAUCGCUGGUCAGCUAUACAGCGGUGAUUUCGUUCCCGGGCCUUGUACACACCGCCCGUCACACCAUGGAAGCUGGUUAUACCCAAAGUUAUUACUUUAACCAUUUGUGGAUGAGGAUACCUAAGGUAGAAUUAGUGACUGGGGUGAAGUCGUAACAAGGUAGCC
rnacentral:rRNA from 1 species